UUCGACGAGGCUGCCAGCUACAGUUUUAAAGGGGAAACGAUUCGCCACAUCCAGACAUGGGAGCGAACGUUACAACUUGAAGACAGACAAGACACACUGUUGCGGAUAUAAGGAAAAAUAGCGAACAUAGCCUACUUUUAUUGUCACCGACCAAUACUUCUUGGAACUAUCUACCAGCUGAAUAAUACAGAAUCAAAUAAAGAAUUCCAACCACGGGUAGUUGGAGUCAAAGAUAUCCCUCUCAGUGAGUGGGUCAGCAGCAUACCACCCUGCAUCCCACUGCUGGCUUGUCUCUGAAGCUAAGCAGGUUAGGUCCUGGUCAGUCCAUAGAUGGGAGACAAGAUGCUGCUAGAAGUGAUGUUGGAGGGACAGUAGGAGGCACUCUUUCAUUUGGUCUAUAAUUAAAUAUCACAAUGCCCCAGGGCAGUAAUAGGGAACGUUGCCCUGUGUACGGUGCCGUCUUUCAGAUGGGAUGUUAAACGGGUGUCCUGACUCUCCGUGGCCACUAAAGAGCCUAUGGCACUUAUCGUAAAUGUAGGGUUGUUAACCCCGCUGUCUUGGCUAAAUUCCCUAUCUGGCCCUCAUACCAUCAUGGUCACCUAAUCAUCCCCAGCUUCCAAUUGGCUCAUUUGUCUCCCCUGUAACUAUUCCCUAGGUUCUUGCUGUAAAUGAGAAAGUGUUCUCAAUCAACUUACCUGGUAAAAUAAGGGUUAAAAGUGAAAGGGUGAAAGCCACCUAAUCCUGGACUGCUGGUCUGGUAGGUGAGUCAUUGGAGUCCAUUCAUCUGGCUGUGAGUCCUCUACAUAUGCAGGCACACAGACAAACAGUCACAGGGAUUGAGGACACACAACCUUCUCCAAGGUCUUUUGUUCCAGCCCCACGGAAACACAACUGAUUCAACUAAUUAAAUGAGACAUCACUAUACUGAGAAAUGGAGC
rnacentral:lncRNA from 1 species